GACGGAGGAGGCAAGCGUUGUCCGGCAUUAUUGGGCGUAAAGCGUCCGCAGGUGGCGAUUCAAGUCUGCUGUCAAAGGUCGGGGCUUAACCCCGGGAAGGCAGUGGAAACUGAAUAGCUAGAGUGCGGUAGGGGCAGAGGGAAUUCCCGGUGUAGCGGUGAAAUGCGUAGAGAUCGGGAAGAACACCAGUGGCGAAAGCGCUCUGCUGGGCGAGCACUGACACUGAGGGGCGAAAGCUAGGGGAGCGAAAGGG
rnacentral:rRNA from 1 species